GUCAGGGCGCGAGCAGCGGAGCGCACACAAGGCUGGAGAGAGCCGCUGCCUCCGCACAUGGGCCGGCCUCGCCACCGCCCCUAGCUUCGGCACCCGGGGUCUCGCAGCCCCUACGCGGCUUUGGCCAUUGGACCAGUCAUGUCUCUCAGCGGAGCCUCGGAGCGUAGCGUCCCGGCCACCAAGAUUGAAAUUACUGUGUCGUGCCGGUGAGCGGGCCGCGCUGGGGAGGGUUUAAGUACUGGCAAUUCCCCAGCCUACCGCAGCUGCGGGUUCAGUGUGGGCAGGGGGCUAGACCACAGAGGGGACGACCAGGAGCGAGCAACAGAGAACUGAGGCUGAAGGCUGGAGUCACUGGCAGGAUGAAAAAGGGGGUCUCCCUGGGCAGCCCCACCCAAGCCUACCGGCUCAAAAGGUGGGCUAUGGGAAUCGCUGAAGAGCUGGGCCACAAGGGACCAAAGUUCUGGGGCGAGCCGUAGUCCUGGACCCUUGGAGACAGUGCGGGCACAUAUAGAGCCAUUUGUCAGAGAUGUCUGAUGUUGUCCUGAAUGUUGGCAGUGUGGACCCCAACAGUCACUGGGAAUAGUAAUAAGGAGGGAAUACAAUUUGCACCCCACGUCUCCUCCAGGUGCCCAGUCAGUUCAGGACUGUGUCAAGGUGGUGAGCGCCAGAAUGAGCUAGCCCUCUGUCCAUCUGUUUGAUGCUUUUCUCUAGGAAUCUGCUAGACCUGGAUACAUUCUCCAAGUCGGACCCCAGUAAGCAGCUCCAGGGCCUGGAGGAGGAACCCGGGGUGUAGGAGCGGGUGGGGCGGUGAGGGGUGCGGGCCGACCUGACGAGCUCCCCUCCCCUGCCCUCACCCGCAGUGGUGGUGCUUCACACGCAGAGCCGGGCCAGCCAGGAGUGGCGGGAGGUGAGUCCCCGAGCCCCAGCCCAGCUCAGGGCCGCUCCCGGGAACCUCUAGCCCGACUGCACGCCUUGCGUUCAUGCUCCGUCCUCCCACCCCUCCCUGCUGCCCAGUUCGGACGAACCGAGGUGAUUGACAACACACUGAAUCCAGACUUCGUGCGCAAAUUCGUUCUCGACUAUUUCUUUGAGGAAAAGCAAAAUCUCCGCUUCGAUGUGUGAGGCUCCUCCUAGAAUCCUGUCUUACCCUCCACCCCCCUCCACCACCACCCCCCAACCUGGAUCAGCCAGAAUUCUGCCUGGUCUCGCCCCCACUUCACCUUGCUACCUGGCUCCUCCCCCUAGCCCAGGUCCUUCUAAGGCUUCACUGUUCUUAACCCCGCCCCCCACACCCAAGUUGGCGCCUCCUUAUGCAGAAUCCAUCCAGUUCCCUCCCCAAACCAGGCCCUGCCCACAACCCUGCCUUCUAAUUUAGCUCCACCUUGGCCUCAGGCGCCCUCCCAUGCUACUCCAUUCCCAUCAAGCCUCCUCCUGGGCUUCACCUUACGCAUGACCCUCUCCCCUGGCACACACGUCCCAAACCACACCCAAGUUGAGUUGGUGUCCACUACCCCUCUCUCUACCUACAAUCUUAACCAAGACUAAACCUAACCUCUUCCAGACUUUCUCCCACCCAGUCCCACCCCACACUGGUUCCACUCUCUUCCCAGGUACAACGUCGACUCUAAAGCCAAUAUCUCCAAACCGGUAAGCCAGCCGUCGCUGGCAGGUUGCUUGGGCACAUAGAGGCUAACCUGUCAAAGGACUUCCCUAAACACCUCCUCCCUCCCCACCCCUCACGCACCCACCAGCCCUUCUUAGAUCCUGGCCCCUCUGGCCUACCAGCCCCCACCCCAAUUCCUUCCCCUGCCUGCUCUGGCCUUAUUCGCUUCCUUUCUUCCUUCCCUGCCUGCCUCCCGGGACCUGCAGAAGGUGAGGCUGCAGUAGACUGCACCGGAAAGAGUUUGGUUGGGAGAUGCUCAAGAAACAAAACACGUGGGGCUGUCAUUUACACUUCGGAGUUAACUUGGUCAAAAGCAGCAGCUUCACCAGGGUAGGCUUGGGACUCCUUGCCCCUCCUGGACUCGCUGACUCCCUGUCUUGGCACAGGAUUUCCUGGGACAAGCAUUCCUGGCCCUGGGAGAGGUGAUUGGAGGCCAGGGCAGCCGUGUGGAGCGACCUCUUACGUGAGCUGAAUGGGAAAGGGUCCAGGGGAGGGAGGGGUCUCUCUGAGUUCCCCCUCCUAGCCAGGAUGUCUGUAGGAGCUCCGAGAUUGCUUUAGCUGGAGCUUUCUUCCCUACCUCACUUUUCUCCUCUAGAAAGUCCUAUCUCUGCUCAAAUCAAUCUCAGGCUAGACAUGUUUCCUCUUCAUCUUUUCCCAAGUCUGGUCCCAUCUUUAAAGCCUUCUCCCAAGCCCCACUCUACUGGGAAGCUUCUUGAAAUCAGAUCAGAUCCUCAGGUCUCGCCACUAUGCCCACUCACUAGACGGUGCCUUAGCCGUGCAUUAGCCACACUCCGUCGCCUGGUCCUGGUUGAGGACUCUCCCCCCAGUUCUACCUCUGUCACCCACUGUUUAAUGAGCUAGAAUUAUAAACCUGAGCCAAGCUAGCUGGAGAAAGGAGGUGGAAAUCAGUGCAAAACAGGAGCAGUAAAUGACAUAUGGAGAGAGGAAUCAAAGUAAAAAAAGCAGGUGGGAGAGAGGUACCAUACUCAAUCCAGUGGUCAACCGGAAGAUGAGUAACUCUGGAGCAGUGCCUGAAGGUGAAGAGUAACUCUUGCGGACAUAGAGGAAACUGCCUUAAUGAACCUACACCUUAAUAAACCAGCCAGGGGGUGGAGCCUAGAGAGGGAAGGACAGGAGGCAGGAGAUGAGGAAGUUCCCAGACAGGGCCUUGUAGCUUUCACUCUGAGAUGGAGUCUAUGUAAGGUUCUGAGUUCUAUAGUCUGACUGUGCUGGCCACGGAGUCAAGAAUAAACUCUGGCUCAAAUAAACU
rnacentral:lncRNA from 1 species